ensembl:snRNA
AAAAAAGGGUUCUGCCGUAAGUGACAUAUGUAGGGAAAAUUGCUUGCUCUAUGUGUAGAAUUGACAUAAAGAGAUUUCAGAAGCAUAAUUUUGGGGCAGUGUGGCAGCUAGUGAUUGGUGGUCCUGGUGCCGCC